GAUGAACGCUGGCGGCGUGCCUAAUACAUGCAAGUCGAGCGAACGGACGAGAAGCUUGCUUCUCUGAUGUUAGCGGCGGACGGGUGAGUAACACGUGGAUAACCUACCUAUAAGACUGGGAUAACUUCGGGAAACCGGAGCUAAUACCGGAUGAUAUUUUGAACCGCAUGGUUCAAAAGUGAAAGACGGUCUUGCUGUCACUUAUAGAUGGAUCCGCGCUGCAUUAGCCAGUUGGUAAGGUAAUGGCUUACCAAGGCAACGAUGCAUAGCCGACCUGAGAGGGUGAUCGGCCACACUGGAACUGAGACACGGUCCAGACUCCUACGGGAGGCAGCAGUAGGGAAUCUUCCGCAAUGGGCGAAAGCCUGACGGAGCAACGCCGCGUGAGUGAUGAAGGUCUUCGGAUCGUAAAACUCUGUUAUUAGGGAAGAACAUAUGUGUAAGUAACUGUGCACAUCUUGACGGUACCUAAUCAGAAAGCCACGGCUAACUACGUG
rnacentral:rRNA from 1 species